CAAGUCGAGCGGUAACAGAUCUAGCUUGCUAGAUGCUGACGAGCGGCGGACGGGUGAGUAAUGCAUAGGAAUCUACCCGGUAGUGGGGGAUAACCUGGGGAAACCCAGGCUAAUACCGCAUACGUCCUACGGGAGAAAGGGGGCUCCGGCUCCCGCUAUCGGAUGAGCCUAUGUCGGAUUAGCUAGUUGGUGAGGUAAUGGCUCACCAAGGCAACGAUCCGUAGCUGGUCUGAGAGGAUGAUCAGCCACAUCGGGACUGAGACACGGCCCGAACUCCUACGGGAGGCAGCAGUGGGGAAUAUUGGACAAUGGGGGCAACCCUGAUCCAGCCAUGCCGCGUGUGUGAAGAAGGCCCUCGGGUUGUAAAGCACUUUCAGCGAGGAAGAACGCCUAGUGGUUAAUACCCAUUAGGAAAGACAUCACUCGCAGAAGAAGCACCGGCUAACUCCGUGCCAGCAGCCGCGGUAAUACGGAGGGUGCAAGCGUUAAUCGGAAUUACUGGGCGUAAAGCGCGCGUAGGUGGCUUGAUAAGCCGGUUGUGAAAGCCCCGGGCUCAACCUGGGAACGGCAUCCGGAACUGUCAAGCUAGAGUGCAGGAGAGGAAGGUAGAAUUCCCGGUGUAGCGGUGAAAUGCGUAGAGAUCGGGAGGAAUACCAGUGGCGAAGGCGGCCUUCUGGACUGACACUGACACUGAGGUGCGAAAGCGUGGGUAGCAAACAGGAUUAGAUACCCUGGUAGUCCACGCCGUAAACGAUGUCGACCAGCCGUUGGGUGCCUAGCGCACUUUGUGGCGAAGUUAACGCGAUAAGUCGACCGCCUGGGGAGUACGGCCGCAAGGUUAAAACUCAAAUGAAUUGACGGGGGCCCGCACAAGCGGUGG
rnacentral:rRNA from 1 species